rnacentral:misc_RNA from 1 species
UUGAAAUAAACCUGAUGAGUUGCUGCUGGUUCUCUAGGGAGCAUGUGCACACUUGUCGUCUUUAUAUCUCCACCUGUGAACCUUUUGUAGACCCUGGAUAUCUCUCUGAAAUGGUUAGCCAAUUCAGGUUUGAGGAAUUGAUUUUCUUUCCUUACAUUUCCAGGUCUAUGUUUUUCAUAUACCCCAUGUAUGUUUAUAGAAUGUAUUAGAUGGGCCUUUGUGCCUAUAAACUUAUA